GAUGAACGCUGGCGGCGUGCCUAAUACAUGCAAGUCGAGCGAACAGAUAAGGAGCUUGCUCCUUUGACGUUAGCGGCGGACGGGUGAGUAACACGUGGGUAACCUACCUAUAAGACUGGGAUAACUUCGGGAAUCCGGAGCUAAUACCGGAUAAUAUUUCGAACCGCAUGGUUCGAUAGUGAAAGAUGGUUUUGCUAUCACUUAUAGAUGGACCCGCGCCGUAUUAGCUAGUUGGUAAGGUAACGGCUUACCAAGGCGACGAUACGUAGCCGACCUGAGAGGGUGAUCGGCCACACUGGAACUGAGACACGGUCCAGACUCCUACGGGAGGCAGCAGUAGGGAAUCUUCCGCAAUGGGCGAAAGCCUGACGGAGCAACGCCGCGUGAGUGAUGAAGGUCUUCGGAUCGUAAAACUCUGUUAUUAGGGAAGAACAUACGUGUAAGUAACUGUGCACGUCUUGACGGUACCUAAUCAGAAAGCCACGGCUAACUACGUG
rnacentral:rRNA from 1 species